rnacentral:rRNA from 1 species
CGGUUUGUCGCGUCUGGUGUGAAAACUCAAGGCUCAACCUUGAGCUUGCAUCGGGUACGGGCAGACUAGAGUGUGGUAGGGGUGACUGGAAUUCCUGGUGUAGCGGUGGAAUGCGCAGAUAUCAGGAGGAACACCGAUGGCGAAGGCAGGUCACUGGGCCACUACUGACGCUGAGGAGCGAAAGCAUGGGGAGCGAACAGGAUUAGAUACCCUGGUAGUCCAUGCCGUAAACGUUGGGCACUAGGUGUGGGGCUCAUUCCACGAGUUCCGCGCCGCAGCUAACGCAUUAAGUGCCCCGCCUGGGGAGUACGGCCGCAAGGCUAAAACUCAAAGGAAUUGACGGGGGCCCGCACAAGCGGCGGAGCAUGCGGAUUAAUUCGAUGCAACGCGAAGAACCUUACCAAGGCUUGACAUACACCGGAAUCAUGCAGAGAUGUGUGCGUCUUCGGACUGGUGUACAGGUGGUGCAUGGUUGUCGUCAGCUCGUGUCGUGAGAUGUUGGGUUAAGUCCCGCAACGAGCGCAACCCUCGUCCUAUGUUGCCAGCACGUCAUGGUGGGGACUCAUAGGAGACUGCCGGGGUCAACUCGGAGGAAGGUGGGGAUGACGUCAAAUCAUCAUGCCCCUUAUGUCUUGGGCUUCACGCAUGCUACAAUGGCCGGUACAAAGGGCUGCGAUACCGCGAGGUGGAGCGAA